rnacentral:tRNA from 1 species
UCCCAGGUGGCUCAGUGGUAAAGUAUCUGCCUGCCAAGCAGGAGAUCCAGGUUUGAUCCCUGAGUUGGGAA